rnacentral:rRNA from 1 species
CCUACGGGUGGCAGCAGUGAGGAAUAUUGGACAAUGGACGAGAGUCUGAACCAGCCAAGUAGCGUGAAGGAUGACUGACCUAUGGGUUGUACACUUCUUUUAUAUGGGAGUAAAAUACUCCACGUGUGGGAUAUUGUAUGUAUCAUAUGAAUAAGGAUCGGCUAACUCCGUGCCAGCAGCCGCGGUAAUCCGGAGGAACCGAGCGUUAUGCGGAUUUAUUGGGUUUAAAGGGAGCGUAGGUGGAUUUGUAAGUCAGUUGUGAAAGUUUGAGGCUCAACCGUAAAAUUGCAGUUGAAACUGGAAGUCUUGAGUAUAGUAGAGGCGGGCGGAAUUCGUGGUGUAGCGGUGAAAUGCUUAGAUAUCACGAAGAACUCCGAUUGCGAAGGCAGCUCACUGGACUGCAACUGACAUUGAGGCUCGAAAGUGUGGGUAGCAAACAGGAUUAGAUACCCGAGUAGUC